rnacentral:rRNA from 1 species
GAUGAACGCUGGCGGCGUGCCUAAUACAUGCAAGUCGAGCGAACAGAUAAGGAGCUUGCUCCUUUGACGUUAGCGGCGGACGGGUGAGUAACACGUGGGUAACCUACCUAUAAGACUGGGAUAACUUCGGGAAACCGGAGCUAAUACCGGAUAAUAUUUCGAACCGCAUGGUUCGAUAGUGAAAGAUGGUUUUGCUAUCACUUAUAGAUGGACCCGCGCCGUAUUAGCUAGUUGGUAAGGUAACGGCUUACCAAGGCGACGAUACGUAGCCGACCUGAGAGGGUGAUCGGCCACACUGGAACUGAGACACGGUCCAGACUCCUACGGGAGGCAGCAGUAGGGAAUCUUCCGCAAUGGGCGAAAGCCUGACGGAGCAACGCCGCGUGAGUGAUGAAGGUCUUCGGAUCGUAAAACUCUGUUAUUAGGGAAGAACAUACGUGUAAGUAACUAUGCACGUCUUGACGGUACCUAAUCAGAAAGCCACGGCUAACUACGUGCCAGCAGCCGCGGUAAUACGUAGGUGGCAAGCGUUAUCCGGAAUUAUUGGGCGUAAAGCGCGCGUAGGCGGUUUUUUAAGUCUGAUGUGAAAGCCCACGGCUCAACCGUGGAGGGUCAUUGGAAACUGGAAAACUUGAGUGCAGAAGAGGAAAGUGGAAUUCCAUGUGUAGCGGUGAAAUGCGCAGAGAUAUGGAGGAACACCAGUGGCGAAGGCGACUUUCUGGUCUGUAACUGACGCUGAUGUGCGAAAGCGUGGGGAUCAAACAGGAUUAGAUACCCUGGUAGUCCACGCCGUAAACGAUGAGUGCUAAGUGUUAGGGGGGUUCCGCCCCUUAGUGCUGCAGCUAACGCAUUAAGCACUCCGCCUGGGGAGUACGACCGCAAGGUUGAAACUCAAAGGAAUUGACGGGGACCCGCACAAGCGGUGGAGCAUGUGGUUUAACUCGAAGCAACGCGAAGAACCUUACCAAAUCUUGACAUCCUUUGACAACUCUAGAGAUAGAGCCUUCCCCUUCGGGGGACAAAGUGACAGGUGGUGCAUGGUUGUCGUCAGCUCGUGUCGUGAGAUGUUGGGUUAAGUCCCGCAACGAGCGCAACCCUUAAGCUUAGUUGCCAUCAUUAAGUUGGGCACUCUAAGUUGACUGCCGGUGACAAACCGGAGGAAGGUGGGGAUGACGUCAAAUCAUCAUGCCCCUUAUGAUUUGGGCUACACACGUGCUACAAUGGACAAUACAAAGGGCAGCGAAACCGCGAGGUCAAGCAAAUCCCAUAAAGUUGUUCUCAGUUCGGAUUGUAGUCUGCAACUCGACUACAUGAAGCUGGAAUCGCUAGUAAUCGUAGAUCAGCAUGCUACGGUGAAUACGUUCCCGGGUCU